UGAAUGAUUGCAGUUGUAGCAGGGAGAACUCAGUGAUUCAGGGAGGAAAACCUCAAGUUGGGGGUAGAGUGACUGGAAAAUUCAUUUGGUUGCUUUAAAAGAUCAUCUUAACUCUGGCUCAAGAUUCACAUUUCCCACUUGUGUCUUGUCUUCAAAAAUAAAAAAGAGGAAACCACCAAUGAGAACAUGUGGUGUUAUAAAUCAUUCUGACUAUUGUUAGAAAAAUGAGUAAGGGUUCUAAACAGUUUCAAAGGGUCCUGACCGGCUCUUUUCACUCACCUUGAGAAGAACCAUAAAAGUGAGAAAACAAAGGAAUUCUUUUUCUUUUUGGACACCCGUCAUCAGCAGUGUUCUCUUUGGGCUGCUGGCAUCUGGGCCCAGUUGCUGGGUUACAGGCAAAUAUAAUCAAAACAAACACUAAAAGGACAACUUCUGAUCACAAACUUGUUGUGGAGGAGAAGAAGCCCUUAAUGAGGCCAUUAGAGCUUUAGACCUUUCUCCAACUUCCUGUUGAACGGCACCAGGAAUUUAACCUGUUUCCAGUCACUCUCUGUUAGUAGAAUUUACCACCCUACCCCCUCCUCUGAGAAUUGCCACCAGACCACCAGGGAUCAAAUGCGAUUUUGAAUAAGCCUCUUGUUCAAACUCUAUGGAUCCAGGUUUUUCAUCUGUAAAGUGGAAGUAAUGACGCUGAUAUCUCCCAGUUGUUGUUAUGAGAAGCUGGCUCCUAUUGUUAAGAAGACAUGGUAUAUUGAGCAAUGAGGAAACCACCAAGCCGUUCUGGUUAAUUAUAUCCAUCAGUCAACUCAAAGGCAUCCUUAGUCUGCAAGCUCUUUUUCGGCCAACAUUAAGCUUCAGAGUGGUGAGAUAUAAUGGCUCUUUAAUAACGACCCUGCCCAUAAUUCCUUAUAAUCAACCAAAGCAAAUGGUGAACUAUUGUCAAAAAUGAUAUUUUUAUGGCUUUUCUGCAUUGAGGUAAAGGUAUGUUCUCUUGUGGAGCACCUAAAAAAAAAUCACAAUCAGAAAAGCAAAGACUUCUUAAAAGUCCUGAAUUUUCUAGUGACUUAAAUAAGAAUGCCUUUGCUGAAGGUUAAUAUGAAGAUGGGUCAUGAAUGGUCUCCUACUAAUAUGACUCAGGAUCUACAUGUUUAAUGAAUUUAAUGAAUCUUUGGUCAUUCAUUUGCUUCAAAUAACUGACCCUAGGGCCUCCUCAUAACCCAGCUCAAAGUAGGAUUCUGGUGGAAAAAGUGUUCUUUCUCUGCUGGUAGAUAUCUGCUUCAUAAACGCUUCAGAUCAUUGUAAGCCCUUUAAAGACAUCUUCCGUCUCUAAAUUUUAGACAUCUCUAAAUUUUGAUUUAGGGAAUCAAAAUUUCUUAUUCUAGAAGAGUCAUGCAAGUCAUUAUGGACCUGGGACAUGGUAAAGGACUUAGCCUUAUUUGUAGAGAAGAAUCUCCUCGCUAAGACUUGAGAGGAAGAAAAAAUGUAAAAGGUGGAGGAGCCUUUGGUGCAUUGAUUGGUAAUAAAAUUAUGGGCUUUUUGGUAAAUUUGUAUGCA
rnacentral:lncRNA from 13 species